rnacentral:rRNA from 1 species
UCUUGGUCAAUUUAGAGGAAGUAAAAGUCGUAACAAGGUCUCCGUUGGUGAACCAGCGGAGGGAUCAUUACCGAGUUUUCAACUCCCUAACCCUUAUGUGAACCUACCUAUUGUUGCUUCGGCGGACUCGCCCCAGCCGGACGCGGACUGGACCAGCGGCCGCCGGGGACCCUCAAACUCUUGUAUUAUCAGCAUCUUCUGAAUACGCCGCAAGGCAAAACAAAUAAAUCAAAACUUUCAACAACGGAUCUCUUGGCUCUGGCAUCGAUGAAGAACGCAGCGAAAUGCGAUAAGUAAUGUGAAUUGCAGAAUCCAGUGAAUCAUCGAAUCUUUGAACGCACAUUGCGCCCGCCAGCAUUCUGGCGGGCAUGCCUGUUCGAGCGUCAUUUCAACCCUCGACCUCCCUUUGGGGAAGUCGGCGUUGGGGACCGGCAGCACACCGCCGGCCCUGAAAUAGAGUGGCGGCCCGUCCGCGGCGACCUCUGCGUAGUAAUCCAACUCGCACCGGAACCCCGACGCGGCCACGCCGUAAAACACCCAACUUCUGAACGUUGACCUCGAAUCAGGUAGGACUACCCGCUGAACUUAAGCAUAUCAAUAAGCGGAGGAA